CAACCAAACACGCCCCAAACCACCCUCUCUCGCGCGAACCCCACCCAACCCUCCUCUCUCGCGCGAACCCCACCCACGGCAGCAAGCCCUCCUCUCUCUCACGCUAACCCUAGCGCUGCACUCCUCCCUUGCCGCCGCCACCUCCGGCGCCAGAUCCUGGCUGCCGCGUCUCCCUCCGAUCUCCCUCCGACCUCGCCGCCGGCGCUCUCCCCUCCCUCACCUCAUCGGAAGAGAAGAGGGAGAUCGUGCGCGCGAGAAGGUCAGGCGGCGGCGGCGGCGGCUCCCAGAUCCGCAUGGGCUUGGACCUGGAGCUCCAUCCCCAUGGCAGCGGCGGCGGCUGCGGCUGACAGGUCCGCCAUGGGCCUGGACCUGGAGUUCCAUCUCCUCCAUGGGGUCGGCUUCCAGAUCCGCGCCCCCAUGGGUUGGACCUGGUGCUCCAUCUCCAUGGCGUCGCCUGCUUCCGCUCGGCCGUCCGCGUGCUUCUGCUGCUCGUCGAGAGCGCCGUGGUCGUCGUCGCGGAGACCUCCCGGCCCCGGCUCCGCUGCCUGGCGCGCCUUCAGGGUGGUGGAUGAACGAGACGACUGCAUUGUGCUCCCAAGAAGAUCUGAACUGCCGAGGCUGCCCAACUAGCUGCGAGUAGACAGGCGAGGCAUGGCUUGGUUACUGACUGCGUUUACAGCGCGAGCGCCGACGCGGCGGGGCGGGGCUUGCCGCCGCUGCAGUUCGUCCGCGUCGCCGCCCCGCUUCAUCUCCACCAUGAUCCGGUGCCGCCCACCACCCCUGCGCCUCUGCUGCCCCGCCAUCUAAGCCACGGCGCCCGCUCGUCCUCUACUUCGGGCGACGGGACAUGCGCCGCCCAUCGUUGACCUCCAGCGACCGCCAAGUCCCACGAUCCACGACAGCCAACCCCGCCGCCGGGAGCAAGGAGGACCAUCCUUCCAGGUGAGAGAUGGAACACCACGGUCAACCUCCUCUGUGUGAAAGGGAGGUGGUGAUCAGGUGAAAAACAUAUGCCUGGAAGACCUCUGGCACAAUGGCGGUGUGCAAGCAACGUCCUGUUGCAUUCUACUGAUGAUCGAUGAGCUGAGCUUCUUCCAGUAGUGGUAGCGGAAGUGACGCUGGAGCAGUACAUGGAUCAGCAGAUCAUCAUGCCGUUUGGGCAGGGACAAGCUGGGACGGCCCUAAUAUAGCAACACUACCAUACCAUUGAUGCUGGUCUUUCAUGUUUCUUCGCGAGCAUCAGGACAGAAGUCGGAGGAAGCAGAGUUCUAGUUCAUUGGAGCCCUUUAGGCUGAUCCUAUUUGUAUGUGUGUUAUAUGAUGUAGCAGAACUUGUAGGGCUUAUGUGAUAGACUCAUGUGAUAUACUCUACACUUUAGAGCUUGUUAUCUAAUUGUAAACUUGAUGCUGAUCACAUUUGUAUGUAUGUUAUAUGAUCUAGCAGACUGCUUGCAGUUAUUUGAA